CGUGUGCUUACAAGUAGUCAGAGCCCGUUAAUGGGUGAUGGCGUGCCUUUUGUAGAAUGAACCGGCGAGUUACGAUUUGAUGCAAGGUUAAGCAGUAAAUGUGGAGCCGUAGCGAAAGCGAGUCUGAAUAGGGCGUUUAGUAUUUGGUCGUAGACCCGAAACCAGGUGAUCUACCCUUGGUCAGGUUGAAGUUCAGGUAACACUGAAUGGAGGACCGAACCGACUUACGUUGAAAAGUGAGCGGAUGAACUGAGGGUAGCGGAGAAAUUCCAAUCGAACCUGGAGAUAGCUGGUUCUCUCCGAAAUAGCUUUAGGGCUAGCCUCAAGUGAUGAUUAUUGGAGGUAGAGCACUGUUUGGACGAGGGGCCCCUCUCGGGUUACCGAAUUCAGACAAACUCCGAAUGCCAAUUAAUUUAACUUGGGAGUCAGAACAUGGGUGAUAAGGUCCGUGUUCGAAAGGGAAACAGCCCAGACCACCAGCUAAGGUCCCAAAAUAUAUGUUAAGUGGAAAAGGAUGUGGCGUUGCCCAGACAACUAGGAUGUUGGCUUAGAAGCAGCCAUCAUUUAAAGAGUGCGUAAUAGCUCACUAGUCGAGUGACACUGCGCCGAAAAUGUACCGGGG
rnacentral:rRNA from 1 species